CUGAGUUCGAACCCCUCUGCAUGUGCUCUAGUUAUCCCCAUCGAGUUCUAACCUCUCCGCCUACGUUCUAAUCCCGAGUCGCCCAGGUUCUGAGCUGUCUGGGUUCCAUCACCCUUUCCCCGCCCUGCCCUAGGCCGCCUCCCCUUUUCUAACUCUGCUCUUGCAAUCCAACUUCCUCUUUCUCCAGUCCCCCGGGUACCCCUUUAGUGCCCCCCAAGUCCCUUGCCAGGGUUGCGAGCGGAAAUGGGGAGCGCACGGCGACGGCGGCGGCGGGGGGGAGGGGCGGGGCGGGGGCGGCGGCCAAUGGAGCGGGAAGCAGGACAAAUGAGGCCCGGCCCGCGCGGCCGACAGGCCCCUCCAUCUUCCCAUUAGCGCCUAAUGGCCCCCCCGCCGCCGCCUGAUGAAGAUUUAUCGGCCCCGGAGCCCCCGCCCCCCGGCCCGGCCUCGCCGCACCCGGCCCCCACCGCCCUCCCGCCGCGGACACCUGAUGAAGCCGUCACCGCGGCGGGAGGGGCAGCUGGCGACCUCGACCAACGCUAGGCCGAGACCCUACCGGGCCGCCAGAGUUCUGGGAGCCAGAGAGUCCCUGAGACCCGGAGACCCGAUGGCUAGGGAGCCCCAACAGUCAGCCGGACCCCUAGGCGGAAGAGCGAAUCGCGCCCCAUCCAUCAACAGGCUCGAAGCCUCCC
rnacentral:lncRNA from 1 species